CGGGUGAGUAAUGCCUAGGAAUCUGCCUGGUAGUGGGGGACAACGUUUCGAAAGGAACGCUAAUACCGCAUACGUCCUACGGGAGAAAGCAGGGGACCUUCGGGCCUUGCGCUAUCAGAUGAGCCUAGGUCGGAUUAGCUAGUUGGUGAGGUAAUGGCUCACCAAGGCGACGAUCCGUAACUGGUCUGAGAGGAUGAUCAGUCACACUGGAACUGAGACACGGUCCAG
rnacentral:rRNA from 1 species